rnacentral:rRNA from 1 species
AGCGUACGCUGGCGGCAGGCCUAACACAUGCAAGUCGAACGAACUCUUCGGAGUUAGUGGCGGACGGGUGAGUAACACGUGGGAACGUGCCUUUUGGUUCGGAAUAACUCAGGGAAACUUGUGCUAAUACCGAAUGUGCCCUUCGGGGGAAAGAUUUAUCGCCAUUAGAGCGGCCCGCGUCUGAUUAGCUAGUUGGUGAGGUAACGGCUCACCAAGGCGACGAUCAGUAGCUGGUCUGAGAGGAUGACCAGCCACACUGGGACUGAGACACGGCCCAGACUCCUACGGGAAGCAGCAGUGGGGAAUCUUGCGCAAUGGGCGAAAGCCUGACGCAGCCAUGCCGCGUGAAUGAUGAAGGUCUUAGGAUUGUAAAAUUCUUUCACCGGGGACGAUAAUGACGGUACCCGGAGAAGAAGCCCCGGCUAACUUCGUG